rnacentral:rRNA from 1 species
UAUUGGACAAUGGGCGAAAGCCUGAUCCAGCAAUACCGCGUGUGUGAAGAAGGCCUUAGGGUUGUAAAGCACUUUCAAUUGGGAGGAAAACCUACCGGUCAAUACCCGGUAGCUUGACAUUACCUUUAGAAGAAGCACCGGCUAACUCCGUGCCAGCAGCCGCGGUAAUACGGAGGGUGCGAGCGUUAAUCGGAAUUACUGGGCGUAAAGCGUGCGUAGGCGGUUCGUUAAGUCAGAUGUGAAAGCCCGGGGCUCAACCUGGGAACGGCAUUUGAAACUGGCGGACUAGAGUUUAGUAGAGGGGAGUGGAAUUUCAGGUGUAGCGGUGAAAUGCGUAGAUAUCUGAAGGAACACCAGUGGCGAAGGCGACUCCCUGGACUAGAACUGACGCUGAGUACGAGA